UGUUGAAGCACCAGUUCCCAUACGAUCACCAAAGUUAAGCAACAUCAAGCCUGAGCAGUACUUAGAUGGGUGAUAACAUGGGAAUACCAUGUGCUA